AGCAUAGCAACAGCAGCGUAGCUGAACAUCUUACGGAUGGCCCAGGGCUCCAAAGGCUCGUUUCCUAAGUGAGAGAGAGCCUGGCUGAAGCUGUAUUACCAUUCAUUCUCCAGCCUCCGAAGUCUCAAAGCAUCACUUCCACCAUACUCUAACUGUCAAGACAAACACAAAGGCCCAGGAUUCUUGGAAUGGACUGUAAAAGUGUGGAGUCAAGACUUUGUGUUUCCUCUCUAACAUGUAAAGAGCUUAGAAGUUGUCGCUAUUGCCCUUACAACAAAAUGAAGCUGGACAAACUGAAAAUCAAUGACUUUUCUUGGACUCACUAUAGAGCUGAGUUUGCAGAGUAAACCACUACCCUGAAAUCUGGAAAGGCAGGUGCACCCAUAGAUCCUCAGCUGAGAUCCAAUUACCUGAAAUAGAAGCUGCCAUUAGGAACACUUAAAAGAGCCUGUUCUGCUGGGACACAGAAUCACUUGCUCCAUCUCAUACAUUGAUGAUGAUUAAUUUGUAUGUGUACCUUCCAAAAAAAGAUGGUUGUGUUUGAACGGAGGCCUUCUGGACA
rnacentral:lncRNA from 1 species